rnacentral:rRNA from 1 species
CGUCAAAUCAGCACGGCCCUUACGUCUAGGGCGACACACGUGCUACAAUGGGCGGUACAGAGGGCAGCUACACCGCGAGGUGAUGCCAAUCUCAAAAGCCGUUCUCAGUUCGGAUCGGAGUCUGCAACCCGACUCCGUGAAGUUGGAUUCGCUAGUAAUCGCACAUCAGCCAUGGUGCGGUGAAUACGUUCCCGGGCCUU